AUGGCCACCGCCACGCUCCCUCUCCGCCUCCUCCCCUCGAGAACCCCACUCCUCCACACCGCCGCCUUCCUCCCUGCGAGCACUUCUCUCUCCGUCACCGCGUCCGCGCCCCGCAACUGGCGCAUCUUCGCCGCCGCCGAGGAGGCGCCCGCUCCGGUGGAAGCCGAGGCGGAGGAGGUGGUAGAGGAUGCCGCGGUUCCGGAGCCUGUUGAGGUGCAGCUGGCUGCUGCUGGCGCGGGGAAGGACGCCGACAUCUUCGCCGUUGUCAUGAUUGGGUCCAGACAAUACAUUGUGAUGCCAGGUCGGUACAUAUACACACAGAGGCUGAAAGACGCCAAUGUCAAUGAUCAGAUCAUUUUGAACAAGGUACUACUGGUGUCAACUAGAGACAAAGCUUAUAUUGGCAUGCCAGUGGUGACCAAUGCUGCUGUUCAUGCAAUUGUUGAAGAACAGGGACUGGACGAUAAAGUGAUUGUUUUCAAGUUCAAGAAGAAGAAGAAGUACCAGAGGAAAGCUGGUCACAGACAGCCAAAUACGAGGUUAAGAAUUACUGGCAUAAGUGGAUAUGAGGAAUUCCCUGCUGAUCCAAUACUUCAAGUUCCAGCUUAA
rnacentral:rRNA from 1 species